CUAGUUAAUUUUACUCGAUUUACUAGUAGUUACUGAGCAUUUGGUUUAGUGCAAAGCCAAUGAAAUACAAGUCUCUCAAUUAUUACUAGAACAGUUCUGCAUUCUGGUUUUCAAUCUUAGUCACUGGGGUCAGCAAAUAUUUAUUCAGUGUCUAUUAAGGUCUGGGCCAUGUGAAGAGAUGCUCAAGAGACGAUAUACACAAGGAAAGCGAACUAACAGGCUCCAUCGCCAAGGUCCUCAGCCCUGGCUGCCUGGGGCUUUAAAAACUGUCCAUGCUUAGACUCCACCCCUAGGUUCUGUUGCACAAGGCUGGGGCCCAGGUGUAAAAAUCAGGUGUAAAAAUACUGAUGUAUUUUUUUAAGUGCCCUCAACUGAUUUUAAAAGGUUGGCUACCGUGGCUCUAGAAGAUUCAGUGCCAAGAUGCAGGAGAACAUCAUCAAAGGUUGGAGGAGCUCUCAGCCAGGUGGGCUUCGGGAAGGCUUCCUGGAAGAGGUGGGCCUACUGCAGAGCCAUGAAGGGUUUGGCCAGUAGGAGGUCAGAGGAAGACACUGUAUGCUGGGAAACAAGCAUGAGGAGGAGGGUGCAGAGGAGGUGCCCACCCCGAGCCCAUGCACCCAAUUCUAGACCACACUCUGGGUACCUGAACCCGAGGCUUCUCUCCCCUACAUAACCUAAGCCCACUUCCGGGGCCCAUGGGGAUCUCACCCUCCUGAGGCCAACCUGUGCCCCUGGUGUUGCCCAC
rnacentral:lncRNA from 1 species